rnacentral:rRNA from 1 species
AACGAACGCUGGCGGCAGGCCUAACACAUGCAAGUCGAGCGCCCUUUCGGGGGAGCGGCGGACGGGUGAGUAACGCGUGGGAAUAUGCCCUUCUCUACGGAAUAGCCUCGGGAAACUGAGAGUAAUACCGUAUACGCCCUGUGGGGGAAAGAUUUAUCGGGGAAGGAUUAGCCCGCGUUGGAUUAGGUAGUUGGUGGGGUAAUGGCCUACCAAGCCGACGAUCCAUAGCUGGUUUGAGAGGAUGAUCAGCCACACUGGGACUGAGACACGGCCCAGACUCCUACGGGAGGCAGCAGUGGGGAAUCUUAGACAAUGGUGGCAACCCUUAUCUAGCCAUGCCGCGUGAGUGAUGAAGGCCUUAGGGUUGUAAAGCUCUUUCAGCUGGGAAGAUAAUGACGGUACCAGCAGAAGAAGCCCCGGCUAACUCCGUG